rnacentral:rRNA from 1 species
UACGAAGGGGGCUAGCGUUGUUCGGAAUUACUGGGCGUAAAGCGCGCGCAGGCGGCUAUCCAAGUCAGUGGUGAAAGCCCGGAGCUCAACUCCGGAACUGCCAUUGAAACUGUUUAGCUUGAGGACGAGAGAGGUGAGUGGAAUUCCCAGUGUAGAGGUUAAUUUCGUAGAUAUUGGGAAGAACACCGUUGGCGAAGGCGUCUCACUGGCUCGUAUCUUACUCUCAGGCGCGACAGCGUGGGGAUCAAACAGG